AUACGGAGGAUCCGAGCGUUAUCCGGAUUUAUUGGGUUUAAAGGGUGCGUAGGCGGUCGGGUAAGCGUAGGGUGAAAGUCCUCUGCUCAACAGAGGAAGUGCCUUCCGAACUGUCCGACUGGAAUGCUCCUGCCGUGGGAGGAAUGUGUGGUGUAGCGGUGAAAUGCAUAGAGAUCACACAGAACACCGAUUGCGAAGGCAUCUCACGAAGGGGCUAUUGACGCUGAGGCACGAAAGCGUGGGGAUCAAACAGGAUUAGAUACCCUGGUAGUCCACGCAGUAAACGAUGAUAACUAACCGUCGGCGAUAGAAUGUCGGUGGCCAAGCGAAAGCGAUAAGUCAUCCACCUGGGGAGUACGACCGCAAGGUUGAAACUCAAAUGAAUUGACGGGG
rnacentral:rRNA from 1 species